rnacentral:rRNA from 1 species
AUCCCGGUUGAUCCUGCCGGAGGCCAUUGCUAUUGGAGUCCGAUUUAGCCAUGCUAGUCGUACGAGUUCACACUCGUGGCGAAUAGUUCAGUAACACGUGGCCAAUCUCCCCUUCAGCGGCGAAUAUCCUCGGGAAACUGAGGCUAAUCCGCCAUACACCUCUCAGACCGGGCUGUCGAGAGGACAAAACGUUUUCGAGCGCUGAAGGAUGAGGCUGCGGCCGAUUAGGUAGACGGUGGGGUAACGGCCCACCGUGCCCAUAAUCGGUACGGGUCGUGAUAGCGAGAACCCGGAGACGGAAUCUGAGACAAGAUUCCGGGCCCUACGGGGCGCAGCAGGCGCGAAACCUUUACACUGCACGCCAGUGCGAUAAGGGGACUCCAAGUGCGAGGGCAUAUCGUCCUCGCUGUCCUGUACUGUAGGGUAGUACAGAAGCAAGGGCUGGGCAAGACCGGUGCCAGCCGCCGCGGUAAUACCGGCAGCCCAAGUGAUGGCCACUCUUAUUGGGCCUAAAGCGUCCGUAGCUAAGGGC